UUAGACUGAGGCUAACAACACGUCACCCUACCUCAUCCACCAUUAUCACUCAUCACAGGAUGAAUUCAUAUUGAGCGUAUACUCUCCCAAUUGCAAUCAUUUACCUUUUUUGCAAUCUCAUUUUCUGCCAUUUAGGUAGUGGAACUUCAUUUAUGUGUCCAUUAUGAUUCCACAUUUGUACUUUGCCUCAUGCUACUCCUUUGAUUAUUGUGUUGAAUCGAUUGAGCGCAUGCUCCUGCUCAUUCAUGUAUACUGGUCAAAUGCGUAAAAACCAUAUUAGUCAGAAUAAUAAAGUCAGUCAGAAAGCGUACACAACAUGGCGCAGUUGGUAAACUGGCUACUGCCCACCAAGUUGCUCUCCCCAUGAAAGGGGAUGGAGCGUGUGGCUCUCCCUUGGAGGGAUUGAGCACGGGGUGAAAGACCACUGUGGGCAGAGCCGUGAGCCCAGUGUGUGGGCAAUCUGAGUCUCUUCUUGUCAGAGGGGAGAUGUCUUGUGCUCGUGACCCGGAUGGCACCGCGACCCGCCCUGAUGGCGCAGUAACCUGCCAGGAUGGCGCAGUGACCCGCCGGGAUGGCGCAGUGACCCGCCGGGAUGGCGCAGUGACCCGCCGGGAUGGCACAGUGACCCGCCGGGAUGGCACCGUGAUCCGCCUGGUUGGCACCAUGAUCCGCCUGGUUGGCACCGUAAUCCACCUGUAUGGCCCAUGUUCCCUGGUGUUCCCGAUGGAUAGCCCGUGUUCCCUGGAUGGCCCGUGUUCCCUGGAUGGCCCGUGUUCCCUGGAUGGCCCGUGUUCCCUGGAUGGCCCAUGUUCCCUCGAUGGCCCGUGUUCCCUCGAUGGCCCGUGUUCCCUGGAUGGCCUGUGAAUCCCUGGAUGGCCAUGAAUCCCUGGAUGGCCCAUGAACCUGGAUGAGUCCCUCCCUCCCAGCUUAGCAUUCUUCUGCCCCAAAAGGUCAUAUUAAACAUUUUUGAUUGUAUUGCUUUAUGGAAUUCUAGCCAACAUAAAAAACUUACAUGCCUAAAAACAUUAUAAAAACUAUUUUUUUUCAAAAAAUCUACUCAAGGUAAAUUGGGAGCACACUUAGUAGCUCUUGAAUAUAUAUUAUGAUAUCAUCUAUUACACCGCUACAUAGUUACAUGGACUUUAUUUAGUGGUCCAAAUUUCAUUGCUUUUUGCCCCAAAUUGCCCCAGUUAUAUAUUUAUUUGAUUUCCCAAAUAAUCAAAGGCGACUUUCAAUAUAAAAAGUGCGAAAGUGAAAAGCAACUUCUGAUGGGCGCAGCCUUCAAAUACAAGAAGCCGCCGUUUGUAGCACAUUGAACCUGUCGCAGUUUUAGGCAACAAUGCGUGCUCUUAUCCUGGCAAAGACUUUUCGUCAACGGUUUCUUGGAGGCUGCACCCGUCAGAGGUCGCUUUUCAUGCUUGUACUCUUUCAAUAGAGAGCCCUAAAGACACGUCAUAUUUUUUCCUAUUAUUUCAUAUUUACGAUCCUUAAGCCAAUGUAGUAAAGGUCAAGAUGACUUAAAGAAGGAAUAAAAUGAAUACUGAUGAUCAAUUAUUGUUUUAGGGGAUUUCAGAAAACCAUAUUUAAUAGUUAGUGUAAAGUAAUGAUUGGAAUUUAUGUUUAGAAAUUUGCCUUGUAUUAAAGGACAGAAAAUAUAAAACGUAAUAUUUACUCUCUAACAAAAAGAACAACUUAGAGCUGUUUCAUAAUUGAGCAGAAUUGAUACUGUGUCACAUGGAAUGGACACAUUUUCCUUUUGUAGACAAUUUUUAGAGUUCUUUCCAUCUGAAAGUAAUUUUGUGUGUACAACUCCAUUCAUAUUAGUCUAUGAUUGCAAAGAUUGUUCAAAAGUGGCGGGCUCUAUUGUUUUUAAAAGUUUAGCAAAUUUGUCAGAGUAAACUAAUAAUAAUCUUUAUAGCUACAAUAAACAAUGGCACAAAACAAAGAAAAGCUAGGCCAAGUCUGUUAUGAUAUAAGAAGCUUACAGCUUUUUAAAUGGUUGUAGGAUUUUUAGUUAGCUCCCAAGGUGAAAUUCUCACUUAUAAGAACUAGCUGCUUGUGAUGAAUCUUAACUCUAAUUGCAAAAUGGCUUCCAACCUUCAGCCAUCUGGAUUCACCAUGGGCAAGAAAAUGUGAUUGAGCCUGCGCCAUGUGGUACAACAUAGGAGAUUCAGUUUGAAGCGGAUGGAUGGAAGAUUUAAAGGAUGGGGAAGAAUAAGAAGGUUCAGCCAUCCAAGAUUGACACAAUUGGAGUGGCACCUUCUUUGUAAUGGCUGAAAGGUUUUAUGGUUCUGCUACUUACAAUUAAUGGUAAAGUCAAGAAUUUCGGGGACCACCUGUGCCUCCUCUGGGCUUGAUUGUGGACAAGGAUUUAAAUCCUGCCAAUAUUCUUGACAAGUUAACGUCGUCACUACAUUGAAUUUAGAUAGCAAAGAGUGAGUGAUGGAUCUCUCUCUCUGCCUCCAUUUGGUUUCCAUGUGGCACAAAAUGAUCUCUAGAAAACAAUUUGAGAAAAUGAAGCAUGGCACGUGUUCUAAUUUCAGCAACCUCAUGGGAUACGUUGAGAUCACGGUCUAAUAUUUGAAACCAGGGGGAGCUUGGGAGGAGAUGUCCCAACAAAGCUCAAAGCUGCAUGGCAAACCACUGAAGUUCCAGGUUGAACAAAACGCCUUGCAAAGCACUGACUAUCCUUUGUUGUUUUGUAUAACAGCUACAAUUAUUUCAACACUACUAUAUUUGACUGGUGCCACAACCAAAACCUCGACCCAUCCCUACAUAAGUCAAAAGGGGGCGCCAAGUGCAAAGGGGUAAACAACGACCCCCGAGAGCAUGUCCCAUUUGGCAAGCAAGGUGCUCCCAAGUGUUAUGGCAAAUGUUUGAAAGGCAUGGAAAGACCAUUGCAAGAUGCGUAUAAUGGGAGAAAGAAUACAAGACAACAAACCAGGAAAUGACAAACUCUUUGGCAACAUCUCAGGAAAAAACACAUGGCGGAGUUGGAGAAAAUCCAAGGUAAGAGGCUACACAUUAAGGCUAAACUUCAUUAUUAAAAAUCUCCUUUACGACAAUUUGGACCAACGAAAUCUGCGGUUAAGAGAUAUUUUCAUCUUUACAAAACAACAGAAAAGGAACCUAGACCAAUCUCUAUGCUUGAUGGUUGUUAAAGAUUUGCAACUUUUAUCAAUUGCUGAAGAGUGACAAUGCCAAUGCUGUGAUGAAGUGACACUUUUGCUACAAUUGAUGAUCCUAGAUUACAUCAGAGUGUGAGGUCGCCAUACCUUGGCCACUAUUUCAAUGGAGCUUUGGACCAUCUUUGAGAGGAACAAUCUUGUGAACAAGAUUCUCAUCGGAGUCACCAACAACAGCACUAAUGUGGUGAAGGUGAUCAGAUAGAUUGGCAUUACCCAAGUUGCGUGCUUUGUUCACUCUUUGAACCUGGUUGGCAAUUAUGCAUUUAGGGUAGUGUCAUCACUCUGCGCAAUCAAAGAUGUUGCUUCAAAAUUAGCAGACCAAACCAAGAAGAGUACCCAUGUGAUGGAGCUAUUUGAGACGAUCCAACAAGACCAAGGCCGAACUUGGCCCAAGAAAUUAGUCCAAGUUGUAACAACAAGAUGGAAUUCUACCUUUGAGAUUCUAGAAAGGCUUCAAGACCUUAGGGGUUCACUCACUGUUUUACUUGCAGAGCCGGGAAUGCAGGAGAAUCUUUGACUCCAACAUGGGGCAAGGGAUUUCUGAUGUGGUCUAUGUCCUUUGCCCACUUUUUGAAGCCAGUGUAGAGCUCUCUAGUGAGAAGAGGACAACAGGAUCCAAAUUUAUUUCUGUCAUGAAGAUGCUCCUCAUCAAUUAUGAUGCCUUGAUCCAAAGUUCAUUACCUGGUACCGUAAGAUACGACCUUGCCAAGGCUAUCAGUGACAAUUUGGUUCACUGAUUCGGAUUUGUCAAGGAUAAGGUUAAAUUGACCGUUGCUACUUUUUUGAACCCUCAAUUCAAAAGGAAGGGUUUCCAAGACAAAACCAAAGUGCAAAUUGCCUCUCAUCAAGUUCAAUCUGGACUGUCCAAUAUGCCCAGUCUAUUGCCUCUUUGCACAAGGUCUUCUGCACCACUGACUCCAAUCUCACUAUGGGAUGCAUUUGAUUCAGAGGUUGUCACCUUCUCAAGACAUUCAAGGAUUCUUGAAUUUCCCAUGCCAACCAAGAUGGACCAAUCCGCUUGAUUGGUGGAAAGAAACCGGGAAAGGAAAGUAUACUUGGCUCUUUGAGCUGGCCAAGAAAUAUUUGGCUAUCCCAGCUACGUAUGUGCUCUUGGAAAAGGUUUUCUCUUUGGCUGGCCAAACCCUCUCAAAGAAAAGGAACUGUUUGGGGGAUGAAAAUGCCCGAAAUUGAUUUUUCUCCAUGGCAAUAUUGCAACCAUUUGAACAUUGUUUUCAAGCAAAGCUUUUUUUGCACGUUGAAUGGUUUCAAUUGAAGGGCCAUUCAACAAUGUGUUAAUGACACUUCAAUUGGAACCAUGCCAAUAAAUCAAAAAUGUGAUCCAUAACGAGCAAAUAAAGGGGAAUAUUUGAACAAACAUAUUGUCACUGAAACUUUCUCUGAAUUUUAGAUUGCAAACUCUUGAAAAUCUCUAAAUUCAGCUGACCUCAAGAAACUGUUAAUUUGAUCCAUUCCCACCUUUCCACUGGAUUUUUAUUGUGUGACUUCAAGAAUCUUGUUUGUUGGGUAGGUGUCUGUCUGUCUGUCUAGAAAAUAGUAUCUGCAAAUAAAGGUCAUGGAAGAGGUCAUUACUCACGGUGGAAUUCUAGGCACAAGAAGGUAUAUACGAUGCUUAUAACGAAAUUCAUUUGACCUGAGAAGUUUGUAUACGCAUCAUCCUCAUGCUGACAAAAUGUUAAGUUGCUCUACCUUUAAAAAAAUAUUAUUUUUCAAUCAUUUGGCAUUUACCCCUUAGCAAAUUUCAACCCUACAGGCUUGCGAGAUCUGGACCCUCUAAAUGCCAGAUUUGUUUCAAUCCAAAAGCUGAAUUUCAAAACUCAAAUAAUUCCAUUCUUAAUUCCUCGAGUUUAUCAAAACUUUCAUUUGAAUUUUCCUUCGAAUGUUGGUAAUUUUGCACCUGGAGUGAGAGUGGCAUUAUAUUUUUGUUAUUUUCAACUCCAAAAUGGCGUAGCUGUAGUUGCAUCUAUAAACUCGUCGACGAGUGAAAUGGUGUCCGUCUUAUCGUGCUAUUGCCAUUAAAAAUCAUAUAAUUACGGUGACCGUGUUUUCUCUCAUUGGAAAGGACCUCUACCAGGAUCGGAGAUGGUGUUUCAACCAUUACUGUGACAUUGGAACGUGCGUGUGCUUCCCGAUCUUCGUUUGAGUUGCGCUCAAUUUCUCUUCAACCCACUCCAUCACAUCAACCAAUUCGUUGGGUCCGCUCUUAUGAUCUCUGCCGAAUCAUUGAAGAAUAACCAUGGAACUUUAUAGACAUGAAGAAAGAAGACACUCUUUUGGAGGCGUACAGUAAUUCUAAGUAAAAGUCUUGUUUCUUCAUUUGGUAUUCCAUUGGAAUUGGCAAUAAAUUGUUUGUAUUAUUGCGUUCA